rnacentral:rRNA from 1 species
UACGAAGGUGGCAAGCGUUACUCGGAAUUACUAGGCGUAAAGGGCAGGUAGGUGGUUUGGUUAGUCUGUUGUGAAAGCUCCUUGCUUAACGGGGAGAGGUCAACAGAUACUGCCAGACUUGAGUCUAGGAGAGGGUACUGGAAUUCCCGGUGUAGCGGUGAAAUGCGCAGAAAUCGGGAGGAACACCAAUGGCGAAAGCAGGUACCUGGACUAGUACUGACACUCAGCUGCGAAAGCUAGGGGAGCAAACAGG